rnacentral:rRNA from 1 species
UACAGAGGGGGCAAGCGUUGUUCGGAAUUACUGGGCGUAAAGGGCGCGUAGGCGGCCUUGUAAGUCUCGUGUGAAAGCCCUCGGCUUAACUGAGGAUCUGCACGGGAUACUGCGAGGCUUGAGUUCGGGAGAGGAAAGCGGAAUUCCGGGUGUAGCGGUGAAAUGCGUAGAUAUCUGGAGGAAUACCGGUGGCGAAGGCGGCAUCCUGGACCGAGAUUGACACUGAUGAGCGAAAGCCAGGGGAGCAAACGGG